rfam:Serratia sp. DD3 SRDD_contig000041, whole genome shotgun sequence.
UUGGGUUGCUGAAUUAGAGAUCGGCGCCCGUGUCUGUUAUUUAUAAUUUGGAGUAUGACAAUGUCUCUAAGUGUUGAAGCUAAAGCUAAAAUCGUAGCUGAUUUCGGUCGUGGUACU